rnacentral:rRNA from 1 species
UGCAAGUCGUGCGAGAAAGUAUCUUCGGAUAUGAGUAGAGCGGCGGACGGGUGAGUAACGCGUAGGAAUCUACCUAGUAGAAGGGGAUAGCCCGAGGAAACUCGGAUUAAUACCGUAUACCUCCUUUGGGAGAAAGAGGGCCUAUCUUGAUGCUCUCGCUAUUAGAUGAGCCUGCGUAAGAUUAGCUAGUUGGUAAGGUAAUGGCUUACCAAGGCUACGAUCUUUAGCUGGUCUGAGAGGACGAUCAGCCACAUUGGGACUGAGACACGGCCCAGACUCCUACGGGAGGCAGCAGUGGGGAAUAUUGGACAAUGGGCGCAAGCCUGAUCCAGCCAUACCGCGUGUGUGAAGAAGGCCUUCGGGUUGUAAAGCACUUUAAGCAGGGAGAAAAAGCUAUAAGUUAAUACCUUAUAGCCGUGAUGUUACCUGCAGAAUAAGCACCGGCUAAUUCCGUGCCAGCAGCCGCGGUAAUACGGAAGGUGCAAGCGUUAAUCGGAAUUACUGGGCGUAAAGCGCGCGUAGGUGGUUUGUUAAGUUGGAUGUGAAAGCCCUGGGCUCAACCUAGGAACUGCAUCCAAAACUAACUCACUAGAGUACGAUAGAGGGAGGUAGAAUUCAUAGUGUAGCGGUGGAAUGCGUAGAUAUUAUGAAGAAUACCAGUGGCGAAGGCGGCCUCCUGGAUCUGUACUGACACUGAGGUGCGAAAGCGUGGGUAGCGAACAGGAUUAGAUACCCUGGUAGUCCACGCCGUAAACGAUGACAACUAGCUGUUGGGAGACAAUGUCUUUCAGUGGCGCAGCUAACGUUUUAAGUUGUCCGCCUGGGGAGUACGGCCGCAAGGCUAAAACUCAAGUGAAUUGACGGGGACCCGCACAAGCGGUGGAGCAUGUGGUUUAAUUCGAUGCAACGCGAAAACCUUACCUACUCUUGACAUACUU